CAGAGAGGUCGUGUGCUCUCCUUUCCUACCACUCCCAACUCAGAUAAGAGCAAUUCUCUCCAUCGUCUCCUUUAUCUUUUCCUCCCCCUUAAGCCUGGAAGGACACCGGGCUGCUCUCCCUCCUGUUCCCGGCAGCCAAAGGGAGGCACCAGGCAGUGAUGCAAGGAAUGCAGGCUCCCUGCUGCCUGGGAUGGAGCUGAAAAGCCCGAGCCCGAGCCCUCCCACCCUGCUGCUGGCCCCAUCCCCACCAGGAUCCCAUGGGAGCCCCCCAGCCGCUCCGGCACAGCACGGACCCACCUGUGCCUCCUGCGGCUGGCGUGGAGCAGCGUCACCGCGACCUCACCGGGACUCUGGCAUUACAGGCACGCUUUUGGCUUCCUUUUCUAUGGAAAAACGUCCUGAACUCGGAAAAGGCGCUGAUGGAUUAUCCUAUAGCAGCGGCAGUUCCCACGGCAGCAGCGGACGCAGGCGCGGGCUGGCAGCGGGGACGCGAGGCGCGCAGAGGCGGCUGCUGGAAAUCAGAGCAAGCCCCAGCGGCUUCGCUCAGCGCUGCAGGCUUCGGCAGCUCCUCCGGGUAACUUCAGCAUUCGGAUGCUACAACAAUGAAUGGCUCAAGCUACUCGGCUCCUACCCCGCACCUCCUGCUCCUUCAUCGCAUUUCAUCCCCGCUCCGCUGCCCGUCCGAGGAGCCGCACAGUGCGUGGCGGUGCCGGGGAUCGCUGCGCACGGGUGCAGGAAUUUGGUGUAAAGUUUGUGAAAGGGUCUGAUUGAAAAUGAGCUAUAUAAUAUAAAGGUCUUUCUGAAUGCAAUAAGGUCUGCCAGAUGUCAAAACCGUCAGUUCUUUCUCUCUGAAAUCAAAUCAUCUUGGUGGAUUUUUACAGCUACUGCACAAGAUUUGAGACUUUUGACUACAGAUUUGAAGUACACGGAAAAUUAGCCCUGAUAAACUUUGGAGAUGAGAUAGGUUCCUAAAGUAGUAAAUAAUGAUGAAAUGGCAAUCGCAAAGACUAAUCCACAUCACUUGCUAAGCUAGGCUUGUUAAAAUGAACUAUUUUAAUAAGGCCAAAUAUUAGGUUAUACAUCUGUGGCAUAAACACGCAGACUUUGAUUCAGAGAAUAGAGCUGCACCUCUGAAAGCAGUGACUACAAAAAGCAUCACAGACCAUAGCUGACAGGCAGGCUCUGAAAGGCCAAGUCCAGACCUGACUGCAGCAUCCAGGCCAGGAGGAGCCCCAGCACCCCGAGGAGAGCAGCACCCUGCCCUGACAUCCAUGGCUUGGUGAGAUCCGGAUAGCAUCGGUGUGUUGGCUGCGGGUGAUGAAGGCUUACACGGAGGAAGGAGCAAGCUGUGGACCGACAGCCUCAGCCCUGAGAUGGGGGAGAGACUUUGGAGCCUGCGGAUUCCAGCAACCAUACCCAGGAAACCAAGCAUGCCAAAAGCCAAAAAAGAAGAUGAUUCAAGCAGAAUCACUCCACAGCAGCCUGAAAUCUCACACCUAGGCACAGCUCCCAACCUGGAGGAGGCAGGCAGAGAGAUAAGGGUGCAGAAAGCACUGACCUAGCAGGAGGAACAAAUUUCCAUUGUAACAGUGCUGACCCAGCACAGCUGCAGGAAUUCAGGUAAAGAGCAGGAGAGGUACUCUGAGAAACAUUCACUUAUUUUGGGAAAUAUAUAAAUAAAUAUAAAUAAAUAUAAAUAAAUAUAAAGCAAAUCCAUGACUGCCUGCUGGAGCAUGCGUACGGUGCUCUUUCAGAGGAUUCUGUAAAGCUCCUGACUGGCUACAUUAAAAUUGUUGUGUACAUUUUUCAUAGAUCAUAAAACGAUAGGGAAAUACUGCAGUAAGGGGGUGUCUGUCAAACACUGAAGGUAAAAGAGACCGGCGUUCUUACAGAACUAAAAUUGCUCUCCUUUUGGUUUUUAAAUUUUCAGUGGCAGGCAAUUCUGCCACUUUUCAGUUUGCUCAUCUAUUCUAAUGAUUAAUUACUUACAUUCAGUAUUAAAAACACACUUCUUAUUUUUAUUCUGAAUUUGUCUAGCUUCAACUUCUGGUCAGUGCCUUUUGGAUAAGCUUAUCUGCUCAAGCUCCCUGGGAUUAUUUUUCAUUUCCCUAGGACAGAUAUUUUUAGAAAUACCAAAUCAUUCCUCUGUGUGUUAUACUACCAUGACUUGAGCUACCUGAGUGUUUGAACAUAAGGCUAUGCAUCCUCCAAUAUCCACUCCCAGUCCUUUUAUCAUUUUCAUUGACCUUUUUCACCCCCUUGGCCUCCCAGCACCCACCCUGACCGCAGGUCCUGUGUCACUGCCAAGUUUUCUGACCACCGAACAGCAAGGGUGAAGCCUCCUCCUCGCACUCGUAUCACAGUAGCCUCCUUGGCUAUAAAAUUGCCCCGAAAAUGCACAUUCAGGCAACUACAUGCCACAACCUCCAAAAUAUUUUGGAGUCAUUCUUCCCUGCAUACCAUCCUUUUAAUCCUCAUCAUUCCUCCGAGGGUUUUCUAAUUUGCCUACCCAGCCUACCAGCAGGGAUUUUGCAUUUUUCCUCCUGGCCAUUCAAACAACCCUUACCAGCACUGAGGCCAGGUCCCUGCAGAACUCCACGUGAAAGCCCGCCCUGUGCAGCGGUUUCUUUUUCAGUUAUAUUGAGGCCACCUAGCCAAACAUUGCUUUCAAUCUGCUGUAUGCCUGCUACAUCGAGGAUUCCUUUCUAAAUUAUGCAGCGCUCAUAGUAAAUGCAUUAUUUCAACAGUAUCACUUUAUUAAUCAAAAUUAAUCUAAUCAAAAACUAGAAGCUGAGCCUGACUACACCGAAUUGACAAAAGCCUGUGUGUGCUGACGGGCAUGAGUUACCUUCUUAUUUACAGAUCAACAAAACAGCUUAUCUGCUGCUCAGUGAUUGUAUUCACCAUCAAAGUCAAGCUGGUAAACCAAACGUGUCAGAGAUUGCCCUGCCUGACUUCACUCAAGAAAUAACGUGCGUUUUCCUCCAGCGCUCUGGGAACUUUCCAACUGCUCCAAGACAUGGCAACGACCAGCAGCAAGCAGCCAAACUAAGAAAUUUUGCUCCUCUUUCGGAAUGCAGUUUGGGCUGAAAACGUAGAAGGUGCAAUUCCACAUCCUUUUGAAUUACCUCUGACAGAUGGCUGAGACCAUCAGCGUAUUGCACAAUCGCUGCCUUCUCACCAGCCAAACCACCAUCUGAAAACUAUUUUCCUGUAACUUCAACCAUUACGACUGAACAAUUUAUCAUUAUUAUUUAAAUGCAACAACAGGCCAAUAUCAUUCUUACUGGCUUUUAUUGUUUAUACUAAUAAUGUAUGGCCAUUUCUCUUUCCCCUUUGUAAUCCUUUUUUUCAAACCCACCUUCUACACAGCAGAACUCCCAGUUUCCAUUCUUUGCUCGCAAUCUUUGCCUUUUCUCAUCCCCUUCAGCUGUAUAAAUGGUUUUUGCUCCCCUUCCAAGUCUUUUUUGCCUGGGGUCACUUGGCCAAGUAUUCUUAAACAGCUCCUAGUUAUUAAUAUUUUUAUGUUCACAUUAUUUACUCAGCUGACAUUGAUUUCAGCUUUGCAAGACAGACUCUCCUGAAGCACUGCUAGAUGCUGCUGUGUACCUCAUUUACAUGCAACAAACGUAAUCAGGUCAUGAUCACUUACACCUAAAUAAUGACUCAUUGUAGCCCUGAGCAAUUCCUCUUUUGAAGUUGAAUUCUCUAGGACAGAAUCUCCACCAGAUAUGUCCUUUUUCAUGCUUAAAAAGUGUUACCUCUAUUUUCAAGAAAUUCCAGCUUAUAUAGAAAACCUCAGAGGUGGUACUCUUAAAAAAAAUAUAUCUAUUUUAUUUUUAUGUUCAUUUUAAGUAGAGAAUCAUUUUGUUUUCCUGUGAUUUAGCAGUUGACACAAAUUCCACAUGCCAUCUACUUGCACUGCUCUUACAUCAGACCAUUCCGGUGCUCUCGCCGUGCCUGAAUCAGGCAGCGGUCCCCAGCGCUUGGUCCCUCGGGCAUCCCUCCUGUGUUGAAGCUGGCAGCGGGCAGCAGACAUCCCCGAGCUGGGACACGGUCCCAGCCCCUGCAGAAGGUGUCAUGCAAUGUGCCCACACAGCUGCAAGCCCCACACACCCUCCAAGCCCCUGCUGCACCCUCAAGCAGCUUUUUCCAUCACCUUUAUAUACACUAAAAAAAUGUAAAAGCAUUGCAUUGUACACUCCUAAUUGUCUCUUGUGAAUGCCAAUCAUUAUCAGCUUGGAAGCAGCACAGAAAACUGUGAAUGGGUUCGUGAUGCUUCAUGAUCAGGUUUGAGGCCCUGGAGAUUGAGAGACCGGUAGCUGAG